AACGCACAUUGCGCCCGCUGGUAUUCCGGCGGGCAUGCCCGUUCGAGCGUCAUUUUAAUUCCUUCCCAGGACGGAGCCUCUGUUUCUACAGAGGUUUUCUGCCAGGGGUGUUGGCACCUGGCGCCGCCUAGGCGACCGGAGCCCAAAUGCAGUGGCGGACGCGCAAGCGGUCCCUAGCGCAGUAAACAAAACUUCGCUCAGGAGGCUCGCAGCAGUGGACCACAGCCUAACGCAAAAAGCUUUUUUUGCAAUAAAAAUUUGACCUCGGAUCGGGUAGGACUACCCGCUGAACUUAA
rnacentral:misc_RNA from 1 species